UACGUAGGGUGCAAGCGUUUAAUCGGAAUUACUGGGCGUAAAGCGCACGUAGGCGGCUUUGCAAGUUAGAGGUGAAAGCCCGGGGCUCAACUCCGGAAUUGCCUUUAAAACUGCAUCGCUAGAAUUGUGGAGAGGUAAGUGGAAUUCCGAGUGUAGAGGUGAAAUUCGUAGAUAUUCGGAAGAACACCAGUGGCGAAGGCGACUUACUGGACACAUAUUGACGCUGAGGUGCGAAAGCGUGGGGAGCAAACAGG
rnacentral:rRNA from 1 species